rnacentral:rRNA from 1 species
GAUGAGCAUGCGUCCCAUUAGCUAGUUGGUAAGGUAACGGCUUACCAAGGCUACGAUGGGUAGGGGUCCUGAGAGGGAGAUCCCCCACACUGGUACUGAGACACGGACCAGACUCCUACGGGAGGCAGCAGUGAGGAAUAUUGGACAAUGGGCGCAAGCCUGAUCCAGCCAUGCCGCGUGCAGGAUGACGGUCCUAUGGAUUGUAAACUGCUUUUAUACGAGAAGAAACACUCCUUCGUGAAGGAGCUUGACGGUAUCGUAAGAAUAAGGAUCGGCUAACUCCGUGCCAGCAGCCGCGGUAAUACGGAGGAUCCAAGCGUUAUCCGGAAUCAUUGGGUUUAAAGGGUCCGUAGGCGGUUUAAUAAGUCAGUGGUGAAAGCCCAUCGCUCAACGGUGGAACGGCCAUUGAUACUGUUAGACUUGAAUUAUUAGGAAGUAACUAGAAUAUGUAGUGUAGCGGUGAAAUGCUUAGAGAUUACAUGGAAUACCAAUUGCGAAGGCAGGUUACUACUAAUUGAUUGA